GGGCUCGCUGGUGGCUGCUGCUGGCCCUGAGUGACUUUGGGAACCCUGAACCACGGCGGGUUCCACCCUGGGAUUCGUGCUAACAGGGAGCUGCACUACAGGGACUGCUCCAUGUUUUCCAUGUGAGAAUGAUUGCUUGGGGAUGAAAAAUUAUCUUCAAGUUCCCUGCAGAGAAAAAGAGGUACAUGCAUCUUCAUGCAUCCACGAAGGACCUGACUUAGUACAGCAGUGCUUCAUGAACUGAGGCCAGAGCACAAUGAACUACAGGGAGUCUCAUGGUGAGAGACAGAUCUUGCACCAGCACAGAGUUACAGCCAUUUCUAUGGAAAUUGAAGGUUUGAAGCCUGGGAGAAAGCAGCAACAAAUUUCCCAUCAAACAAGAAGAUGGCUCAAAGAUAACAGCCCAGAGCAAAGCUUCAGGUGAUGUUCCCUUUGGAUCCCUCUCUGUGUGCAGAGGACACAGGACCAGGAAUCCCACAGUGCCAAGCUGGUGGGUGAAGGAGGAAGGAUCCAGAAUGCGGCUC